UCAAAUAUGUGGUAUUUGUGUGUUAUUGCCCUUCUGUUGAAAAUCAGAAAUACCACACAAAAUAGUUAUCACACCCAUAACUUAGACCCCCCUCAGCUCACCCCCUAUCAAAAUUAAAAAUUGAUUCGCCGGGGGGGGGGGCGGUGACAGGCUUGCGCAUGCGCACUUACCGCCAACAUUUGAAAAGAAUUCCGUUGCGUUGCAGUUUAUUGAGCUCCAUCGAGAAGUGUGACGAAGAAGGCCGUUAAUAAUUCAACUACUUAAAGAAUACGGGUUAGAUAUGGACAACGACUUCGAAGACAUUUGCAGUAGGCUAAACAGAGAAAGAGAGGGAGACCCAAAACUACCUGUCCUGGCAUCACAUUUGAGGAGAAGAAGUCGAUGAAUAUGACCUAGCCCGGGGGAGUUUCCAGAAGAAGGCCCAGAACCACCGGCCGCCAGGAGUGGAGGUCCUUUGUUGUUGCUCUCCAUGUCAGGAGGCAUCGGGCAGUAGGUAAGACUAACCCUGGUAGAAGCACCAUCUUGAUACUAUCAUUCAAACUCUCAUCAGCUGUAUCAUUAUAGGUGGACUAAAAGAACAAUAUUCAUGCAGAUAUAAUGAUGCCUUAAGUUGGAAUGGAAGGUGUCCUGAAUCUGCACCCAUUCAUCUGGUUUCGUAACUCCUUUCAUAGUGCUAUUGGAACCUGCUCCCUACCAGUAUAACAUCAAACAGAUUGGAAGAAUAAAGGCCGAUGGGAAGUGCCUUUUAUAUUUCUACUUGCCACAAAGCAGUCCAUGGUUUAGCGCAAUCUAAACUGGACUAUUGUAAUGCUCUUCAUGCUUGAAUUAGGGCGAUCUGGACUGACUGCAGAUAGUACAGAAUGCUGCAUUUAUUGUGCCAUUUGCCAUACGCCAACUUCGCUGGCUGCAAGUCAAGGAAAGGAUAUACAUGAACAUCAGUGUCCGUCUCCUGAGAUCCAGAUUACAUGUAUUAUAAGGAAUCCCUUGUGCGUCAUUUUCAUUCUAGGCGCACUUGCCUUUUUAUUUUUGUGAUCAUUACCAAGGAGCUUGUCAUUACGCACCUACAAAUUAGCUACUGGUGAUGCAACUUUCUCCACUACUGCUCCAAGGCCAUGGAAUUAGCUCCUUCCUCUCCUCCAGUUGUCAACAACCUUGGAUCAAUCCAAAUACAAUUUGAGAAGACCUACCAUAUUCCUGAUCUUUGCUCUGUACUUACAACAAUACUGUCACUGCCUGGUAAUUUGAAUUUUUUUUAAUCUCAUGUGCUGACUAGGAUGGCAUCUCAAUUCAUCCAAAUUAGACAAGGGAUAAUAAAGUAAUGUAUGACAUUCUAACCUCUGCAUUAUUUUGGUGAAAGAGCUCUAAGCAUAUGCAAGUAGCAAGCUGAUGAUGUCAUACUGACGUACAUUGUACAUGUACACGUAUCCCCAACUUAUUAUUUUGUAUAUAAAAUUGUGCAUUUAAUUUUGUUUACCAAGAAUGAAACAAAUCGGAUUGUAAACUGUAUUGAUGUGACUUACCUGUAUUGAUUAUUGCUGGAAGUUCUUUUGCUACAUGGGAUUGGAAGACAUACCUAUUACACACAUGAAGUAAAUUAUUAUUUUAUCUGGUAACAUGAGAACAAAAAAAAAUGUGGGCAUGAUAUCAUAAACUUACAUGUAUCUACUUGCAUGUGUUGAUGACCAAUAUUUUUGUAAUUAUUAUUAUUUUUUUUUUAUCUGAUUUUGAUAAAAUUUUCACUAUUUUGCAUGGUAAAAAUUACUUUAUUUUAGAUUAUGUUGAGCCCGUAUCAUAUACAAGUACAACUUUAAAGAUAAAUUACCAGUUGUAGUAACAAUCUUAAAAUGAGUUCGAACAGAAUCCAAUAGAAUUACCAGCAAAAUAUAAAAGAUAUGUGCCAUAAUUAUAGCUCGGGAAGAAAAUGUGUAAUUGCUGAGAAAUGAGCAAAAUAAGCAUGUAAUUCUAUCAAAUGUCAGGUAUUUUUCAAAUCAAUCAUAAUACACUGUCCUGUCCCACAUAUGCUUUUCUGUGUUAGUGCCUAGUGAUCAUCAGAAUAAUUGAUUUUAAGUUCAAAAUUAGUAAUUUUACAAAGAUACAAGUUUACAUAAUGUACCAGAUCUAGAGAUUAUGUACAAUAUUUUGACAAUUUCUCAUGAAAUAAUUGUUUGCUGCAACUGCUGUCUUUUUAAUACCUCUAAGUGAUAGUGUAAUACAACCACAAACUUUUCUUAAGAAUUAAUGUACAUGUAUGAUUCUUUCACCCAAAUUUACAUGCAUUGAUACUGUUGACUACUUGCCAAAAGUUCCUGCCAAAAGCCUUUUUUUUUAACGAUGUACAUGCUUUUAUAGACGACCUGCCAAAACAUUGUAUUGUAUAUAUAUUCAAGGACCAACCAAAAAGAGAUGAAUAAAAUGUUUGAAGGAAAUUGAAAUUAACUUUAAAAAUGAUAGCUGUCAAUGCAGUAUUAUUACAGGGUUCCCACAGUCAUGGAAAAUCCUGGAAAAAAUUGGUCAUGGAAAGUCAGAGAUAUGUGAAAAGUCAUGGAAUUGCAUUUACCUCUUGGCUAUGACAGCUUUCUAGUUUUUUAUGUCUCACAACUCUCAUACUCUGUGAUUGUACUCUACUAUUAUAAUUGGUGUUCAUGAUCAUAACAUGUCUGAUUUUGUAAACUGUGCCAGAAAGGAAUUAAGUCAUGGAAAGCAGCAAUUUAGUCAUGGAGAGGUCAUGGAAUUCUGUUUUCAAAUUUCUGUGGGAACCCUGAAUAGGUUUGUGCACUUGACACAGUGUGCACUACAGAUGAACUUUGUAAUGCCAUGAUAUAAACCAGUACAAUAUCUUAAAGGAAAAUAAAACCCAAAAUAUAAUACCACAUGAUACCAUUGAUAAAUACAGGACAAUGAAAAUGAAUCCACUCAUAUACCCCCAAUCCGAUUUCCCAGUAUGGAGUACCACCUUUUCAAAGUUGGCAUCUUCUGGUUCGAAGUCUAUGGAUGGAGAUUAUUCCGUCAGCGACGAACUACAUCUCUAAACGUUUGGGCAUUAUAUAUUCUAUUUCAUCGAUAAUAAAUCAAAUGUACAGAUAAAACUCAUAAAAUAUUAAUUAAAAUAUGUUUAAUAUUAUAUGAUAGGUUCAAAUUACGACUUGAUGAGUUUUAAUGAUAAAAAUUACACCCUAAUCUACGAUUUACAAAUUGGCAGCGAAAAUCAAUCAGAAAUUGGGGUGUAAAUCUUAUCAUUAAAACUCAUCAAAUUGUAUUUUAAACCUACCAUAUAUUAAACAAAUUUUAACUAAUAUUUUUAUGAGUUUUAUCUGUACAUUUGCUUUGUUAUUGCUAAAAUAGAAUAUAUAAUGCCUAAACGUUUAGAGAUGUAGUUCGUCGCUGAUGUAAUAAUUUUCUUACUAACCCCGCGAAAAUGGCGACCUCCAUCCAGAAACUUCGAACCAUACUGUAAGAGGCCAACUUUGAAAAGGUGGUACUCCGUAAUUGGAUUAGGGUAUGAGUGGAUUCAUUUUGAUUGUCCUGUAUUUAUCAAUGGGAUCAUGUGGUAUUAUGUUUUGGGUGUUAUUUUCCUUUAAUUCAGAUAUUACAUGCCAGGGUAUUGUCCUAGUUUUCAUUUUUGGUGCGUAAAUUGAUCAAAUUAUUCGUUCCUUUGAACACUAUUCUAAACUGAGUGGACUCCAAAUACAUAUUAUCAUCUCUCGUCUAUUUCUACUUGCCCUUCGGCCUUGAAGUAAACUUGGGAUAAUUAUGCAUUUUGUUAUACGCAAUUUUGAGUACAGUGCACUUUGCCGCAGCUACUUAUAUGAUAUUACCUAUUGUAGACACAUCCUUAUGUUUUGUUCAUUUUCUUAAAUACGAUUAAGAAUUUAAUCAUUUUUGUCUUUAAGCAUAAAACAAAGAGUAAUCAGUCCAUUCUGUAUGUGUGACCUGCAAAAAAAAAUACAAUGGUCGUUAAUUUGGUUUGCUGAAAAGCCUGAUAGCCUUUGAGGUAACUUUUUAAAGUAUUUAGAAGAAAUGUAUCUUUUUUAAAAGUAUUUAUAUGCACUGUAAUUUCUUUGAUAGUUACUGUUAUGUUACACUGUUUGUACAGUAAAGCAGAUGUUAUACAUUUUUUGUCAAUAGCAAAUGUAAACCAGUAUUGUAAAUUGAUGACUCUAUGAGCUAAAUACCAGUACUUUCUA